GAAUAUUGGGCAAUGGGUGAGAGCCUGACCCAGCCAUGCCGCGUGCAGGAAGACUGCCCUAUGGGUUGUAAACUGCUUUUGUACGGGAAGAAACACUGCCACGUGUGGCAGCUUGACGGUACCGUAAGAAUAAGGAUCGGCCAACCCCGUGCCAGCAGACGCGGUAAUACGGAGGAUCCAAGCGUUAUCCGGAAUCAUUGGGUUUAAAGGGUCCGUAGGUGGACAAUUAAGUCAGAGGUGAAAUCCUGCAGCUCAACUGUAGAAUUGCCUUUGAUACUGGUUGUCUUGAAUCAAUGUGAAGUGGUUAGAAUAUGUAGUGUAGCGGUGAAAUGCAUAGAUAUUACAUAGAAUACCAAUUGCGAAGGCAGAUCACUAACAUUGCAUUGACACUGAUGGACGAAAGCGUGGGGAGCGAACAGG
rnacentral:rRNA from 1 species